CCUACGGGAGGCAGCAGUAGGGAAUAUUGGGCAAUGGUCGCAAGACUGACCCAGCCAUGCCGCGUGCAGGAAGACGGCCCUCUGGGUUGUAAACUGCUUUUAUCUGGGAAGAAAAAGUCCAUGCGUGGAAAAUUGCCGGUACCAGAUGAAUAAGCACCGGCUAACUCCGUGCCAGCAGCCGCGGUAAUACGGAGGGUGCAAGCGUUGUCCGGAUUUAUUGGGUUUAAAGGGUGCGUAGGCGGCUGAAUAAGUCAGCGGUGAAAGACUUCGGCUUAACCGGAGCAGUGCCGUUGAUACUGUUUAGCUUGAGUGUUGGAGGGGUACAUGGAAUUGAUGGUGUAGCGGUGAAAUGCAUAGAUACCAUCAGGAACACCGAUAGCGAAGGCAUUGUACUGGCCAACAACUGACGCUGAGGCACGAAAGUGUGGGGAUCGAACAGGAUUAGAUACCCUGGUAGUCCACACUGUAAACGAUGAUUACUCGCUGUUAUGGUGAAUGCUGUAGCGGCCAAGCGAAAGCGUUAAGUAAUCCACCUGGGGAGUACGCCGGCAACGGUGAAACUCAAAGGAAUUGACGG
rnacentral:rRNA from 1 species